rnacentral:rRNA from 1 species
GGACCCGCACAAGUAGUGGAGCAUGUGGUUUAAUUCGAAGAUACGCGCAGAACCUUACCAACACUUGACAUGUUCGUCGCGACUUUAAGAGAUUAAAGUUUUCGGUUCGGCCGGACGAAACACAGGUGCUGCAUGGCUGUCGUCAGCUCGUGUCGUGAGAUGUUGGUUAAGUCCCGCAACGAGCGCAACCCUCACUUUUAGUUGCCAUCAUUAAGUUGGGCACUCUGAAAGAACUGCCAGUGAUAAGCUGGAGGAAGGUGGGGAUGACGUCAAGUCCUCAUGGCCCUUACGUGUUGGGCUACACACGUGCUACAAUGGUAGUGACAGAGGGCAGCCACUGGGUGACCAGGAGCG